rnacentral:rRNA from 1 species
GACGAACGCUGGCGGCGUGCCUAAUACAUGCAAGUCGAACGCUGAAGGAGGAGCUUGCUUCUCUGGAUGAGUUGCGAACGGGUGAGUAACGCGUAGGUAACCUGCCUGGUAGCGGGGGAUAACUAUUGGAAACGAUAGCUAAUACCGCAUAAGAGUAGAUGUCGCAUGACAUUUGCUUAAAAGGUGCAAUUGCAUCACUACCAGAUGGCCCUGCGUUGUAUUAGCUAGUUGGUGAGGUAACGGCUCACCAAGGCAACGAUACAUAGCCGACCUGAGAGGGUGAUCGGCCACACUGGGACUGAGACACGGCCCAGACUCCUACGGGAGGCAGCAGUAGGGAAUCUUCGGCAAUGGACGGAAGUCUGACCGAGCAACGCCGCGUGAGUGAAGAAGGUUUUCGGAUCGUAAAGCUCUGUUGUAAGAGAAGAACGAGUGUGAGAGUGGAAAGUUCACACUGUGACGGUAUCUGACCAGAAAGGGACGGCUAACUACGUG